AGUGAACGCUGGCGGUAGGCCUAACACAUGCAAGUCGAACGGCAGCACAGUAAGAGCUUGCUCUUACGGGUGGCGAGUGGCGGACGGGUGAGGAAUACAUCGGAAUCUACUUUUUCGUGGGGGCUAACGUAGGGAAACUUACGCUAAUCCCGCAUACGACCUACGGGUGAAAGCAGGGGAUCUUCGGACCUUGCGCGAUUGAAUGAGCCGAUGGCGGAUUAGCUAGUUGGCGGGGUAAAGGCCCACCAAGGCGACGAUCCGUAGCUGGUCUGAGAGGAUGAUCAGCCACACUGGAACUGAGACACGGUCCAGACUCCUACGGGAGGCAGCAGUGGGGAAUAUUGGACAAUGGGCGCAAGCCUGAUCCAGCCAUGCCGCGUGGGUGAAGAAGGUCUUCGGGUUGUAAAGCACUUUUGUUGGGAAAGAAAAGCAGCAGGUUAAUACCCCGCUGUUCUGACGGUACCCAAAGAAUAAGCACCGGCUAACUUCGUG
rnacentral:rRNA from 1 species